AACGAACGCUGGCGGCAUGCCUAACACAUGCAAGUCGAACGAGACCUUCGGGUCUAGUGGCGCACGGGUGCGUAACGCGUGGGAACCUGCCCUUAGGUUCGGAAUAACUCCCCGAAAGGGGUGCUAAUACCGGAUAAUGUCUUCGGACCAAAGAUUUAUCGCCUUUGGAUGGGCCCGCGUUGGAUUAGCUAGUUGGUAGGGUAAAAGCCUACCAAGGCGACGAUCCAUAGCUGGUCUGAGAGGAUGAUCAGCCACACUGGGACUGAGACACGGCCCAGACUCCUACGAGAGGCAGCAGUGGGGAAGAUUGGACAAGGGGCGAAAGCCUGAUCCAGCAAUGCCGCGUGAGUGAUGAAGGCCUUAGGGUUGUAAAGCUCUUUUACCCGGGAUGAUAAUGACAGUACCGGGAGAAUAAGCUGCGGCUAACUCCG
rnacentral:rRNA from 1 species